CUGGCUCAGUAGACAUCUUAUCUCUGGAUCCAGCCAUAAGACUUGCAACAAAUUUCAUUAACCUCUGACCUCAACUUCUGUGGUUGUGAAAUGGAAUAAAAACGGUAACUUCUACGCAUAUGAGUGAAUUGUCAGCUCUCUGAGUGGCCACCAGACUGAAUCCCAAAAUGGCAAACAUCCCCCCACUUCAGCUCUUGCUUGUAGCCCAUAAUCAAGUUUACAUAAACAGAAAGAUCCAAAGAGCAAGGAGUGCUAAAUCCUGCCAAGAGAGAGACAACGCUUCUCUGCCCGCAACUGUUUCAUCUCGGCACUCAAGGCUCUGCAAACCACUGUGUGGAAACAUUUGACUCAGGGCAGCCCGCGAGAAGGAAGGAGGCAGGAGCGCCUUUGCAGCAUGCGAGCUACAGUGAGCGUGGCCGGGGCUUGGUGACACCCAGUCCCUCCCUUCUCUGCCUCCCGGUCUUGGGAGUCAGUUAAGUGUUAUAAACUCUUAAUCACACCCUUGUUUUCCCAAAUAAAGUGCAGCUAAUAG
rnacentral:lncRNA from 1 species